UUUCAUCAUAAAAUUCACUCAGAUUCACUCUUAAAUCCUAUCAAAGAAACACAACAAAUUAUCCUAUCAAAUUCAUCUAAUUCCAUCCUCUUCCUCAAAUCUAUCUAGGCAAGUGAGAAGAGCCUUAGGGUACUGGAAAAAGAUUCUGGGGGAAGGCGUUAUUUGCGGUCGUGGUGAUAUUGUGAAGGUAAAUUGGAUAUUGAAAGCCAGAAAGAGAGAAGGUUUGUUUGGAAGAAAAUGAUUAAUCAGAUAGAGAAAACACAACUAUGGAAAUCUGGGCCAUUAUAUAUAUGCAUGUGCAACACGAAACUUAAGGGUGAUUAUCUGUAGCAGGAUUGAUGAGACCAUUAAACUUUUAUGAGUCUACGCUACAAUAACAACAUAGAUAAAGCAGUGCAAAACCAAUAUUUCAUUCCCUGUAUAUAUUAAUUGUGUUGUUUCUGAAAUCACAUAUGGGGAUUAUAGUUGUUUAUAUUAAUCUCUUAAUUGCUAAAUAUGACAUUCAAUGUUUAUUUUGACAAGUUUAUCUGUUAAAUUUAUUUUUUUAUUUUUA